rnacentral:lncRNA from 1 species
UGAAUCCAUGACUUAGAAUCUCCUAGGGAACUAAUGCAUGUCCAUAACUUAUUUGAAUGUGUUUUUGCUAAGUCUUUCAUGUACAACCUUCUACUUCCUUGAAAUCAACAUGUGAAUACAUGAAUUCUAUAUGCCAAUAUUGUUACAAUUCAGACUUGUUUCUUUGCUUUGAUGUUGUGUGCUCAUUGACUGUUAAGACUCCUAGGGUGAAUCCAAUAUCUGUCUAGCCUAUUCUUCCUAUGCCGACUAGAAUAAGUCCCAGCCCUCUUCAUGUGAUUCAUGUUUGCCUUAUUCAUCUGAAAGUCAGCUUUUUCUCAUCUGCCAUGAAUGCUUACCUGUUGGAUUUAGAACCUUUGUGUGGUGGCUGGCAUUUUCCUGAACCUUUCACAUGUUAAGUUCUCAAGUUAGUUGGAUCAUUAGGAUCUCCUGUCAAAGUUUUCUUGUGAAGUUGUUUCACCCUUUAUUUGUUCUGAUUAUGGCUCUUCCGGGCUUCCAUGUCAAGAAUCAUGUGUCUAAAGUCCUACUGAGAUUAGUUUGGAAUCAUGCCUACUUUGAACUUCUGCUUUUGUUGUCCUAUAAUGUUCCAACAUGUCAUUGAGAACUUGUUUCUAUCUAUGCCAUAUGUGCCUGUAAGGGAUUUUGUUUAAAUUUACUUGUUUGUCUCUGAAAUCCUUGAUCUCUAUUAGCUAUAGUGUUAAGGGAUAAAAUUCCUAAGUCUUAAAGAUUGUUUGGCUGGCUUAGUACCUAGCUGGUCACUUGUGUUGUUAUGGCUAUUUUGUAUUUCAUGGGUAAGCAAGGGAGUUGUCUUAUGGUUUGGGCCUAGCUGUUGGGCCAGUUUGGUACUCAAAAUUGAAGCAUAUUAAUAGCCACCUGGAGUGUUGGCAUGUUCAUCACCUAAGGUUCAAGGCUUAGUUGAAGGCCAAGAAGCAGCCUUGGGUAUCCUGUAUUUGUUGUAUUUGGGCUUGUAGUCUCCUUAUUAAGUCUCUAAUUGUUUUUAAUCCUAUUUUGGGCAUGUAAUAAUCUGCAAUAACGAAUGAUGGGGAAAUUAGUGGAAAAGGAGAAUGGAUAUACUCUAUUCUUGCAUAAAAGAGUAGAAGACAUGCCUAUAGGGUCUACGUGCUUUAUUUGCUAUUUUGUUUAGUGUGCUUUAUUUCUGUACACUGAUAGAAAUUAUGCUUGUAGGAAAUCACACAUUUCACUUAAUUUGUCUAAUACUUGUACAAUGUUCGAAGCAUGUUGGCUUAAGUAAUUGCUACACUUGUUUCCAUAGCUAAUACUGAAAGCUUUAGACAGUAUGUUUAUAGGAAUCAAACGCCUUGGUUAACCAUUAGACAGCAUGCCUCUAUGAUACAAUAAUGCACGUCUUCGAUAAUACUCAUCUAGAUACCAUGGCUAUAGGGUUCUAAUUAACUAAUCAGCUGCUUUUUGUUACUUUUAUACUGCCUCACUUAGAUGAUAUGCCUAUAGGGAUAAAGUGUUAUAAAACCAAGUCUAAUUGUCAACUGUUAGAAAUUCUGCCUAUAGGAUGUUGUCACGUGCAUAAGAAACUGUUUAUGAAAUUGAUGAUGUUAAUCCUAGGCUUUCAAACAGUUGCACCACCUCAUUGUGCAAAUAAUUAGAGAUCAUGUCUACAGGACCUGUAAUCCCUUUAAUCUGCCAAUAUUUUACUCUAAAGUUGUAGUGCUGCCUGUACAAUACUGGAAAUCAGAAUUACAUAGAAAUCAUGCCUAUAGGAUUCAACGGCUCUCAUGCUUCUUAACUCUAAAACUGUCUGCCGCCUAAUGUAUGAAUCUGCAUGCGUGUAAUUUGUUGGGUAUGUGUGGAGGCCAACUUGAGCCAUUUAUUGACUUUAUGUGUAGUCUUAUAUGUUUUGAAUGCAUGCCUAGUUUUAUCAGUUUGAGCAUCCUAAGUAGAGUCUAGAACCACCCAAAUAGUAGGUCCAAAGCCUCUUGUACCAUAGGCAUGGGACGGGUAGUGCACGUAUAGGACAUGACCUAUAAUUGAAUUAGAGCGCUUUCAGGUAAAAAACUUUAACAUAGUAAUUGGGUAACAUGAGAUGAUAGUUUAUGCCUGCUGAAUAAUAUGAGUAACCCUUACCUUAUGGGAGUUGAAAAGUAAUAUUUAUGUUGCACGGGGUGAUCCUUUAGGCUAUAAAACAUAGGAACCCCCUCCUUUAUAUGUCCAUUGUUCACACUUAGUCUUUGAAUAUAGAAUAAUUAAGUUGUACCUUAUGACCUCUAAGGACUUGUAUUGAUUAUCUAUAUAGUUUAAUUGUUGCCCGAUUUUCUUUGCACUCGUUCAUAAUAGAACCUUUAAAUUCCUUGUCUUACCUCACUUAUAUGAUCACUUAGGACAAUUGUAAUCCGAUAAUCCCACAUAGUGUAAACUUUGGUCGGGACCCACAGUUGUGGACCUCAAAGAGUGUCUAACCCCUUCUCUUAGAGUUAAUUUCAGCCCUUACCCGAACUUUGGUGACGUGGACUAGUUAAACAAAGUUAUUUGCAAAUAGGUGCCCUAACGCACCUCAAAAUCAUUAGGUAUUGACUCUUCUCUUUUAAUACCCAUUUAAAAUAGUUAUCCCAUGUUGAAACUCGCUUUCGCAAGAAAACGGGGUGCGGCAGCAUGGAGACUCUACUGGUAAUUUACACUUAGGCUCUUACCAUAACGAAGUUGACUUGUGUGGAUUAUUUGAUGGCAUGUACAUCCCUUACCUUAUUUUCUUCAUUUGUUUGAAUCGCUAUGACAUGCAUAUCUCUUCCCUUAUUUUCCUUUAUUUAUCUAAAUUGUUAUGACAUAAACAUCCCCUCCCUGUUUUCCUGUAUUGCUAUGACAUGUACGUCCUCUCUCCAUUUCCUUCAUCUUGUCUAAGACUACUAUAUCACGUCUCUCCCAUCCCCAUUUCCUAAUUUGCUUCAUUAUGUUCUCGUACAUUUUCAUGAGUUAAACUGACUUCUCUCUUUUGUCUUUCUUUUCUUUUCCUCUUCAUGUUCAUCUUUACCAUAUUAUUUACUGUUUUAUACACUUUCAUCAUGUAAAUAUUUGGCAAUGUGUUAAUAUUUUGCAUACUUCAUGCUUUCAACAUCAUACUCCACACAUGCUUAUUAUCAAUAUAGCGGCGCUUGAUCAGUGUCUACAUUUUCCCUAAAAACACCCUUUUUCAAUCGAAAUGGCUUGUUUGCGGUAGACUAGUCGAUCAACGGUGCAGUUGACGGUCCCAUGCCUUUCCCUCUUAAGUUGUCCGCUUGAGAGUACUAGUCUAGACCUUUCUAGAAACCAUACUCCGAUUUGAAAUGUACAUGCAUCAUGUUAAACCUAGUACAGAUUGAGACGUCAUUGACCUAGCAACCCGUUUAGAUGUACCUUGUCCAAAGGCCAACGGGAUUUCCAUAAUCCCCAAGGGACACCAUCAUAUUAUGUGCAUUACUUGGAGAAAAACGUGCCACCAUGCGGAUCAUUAUUGUGUAUAUAGUCGAAUCCGGAGGGGGAAAGGGCUAACUUUUAUUUGUUUGCAGAAAAUGAAGCACGAAAUUUCCAGGUUUGGUAUGGUCUAGAAUAUCCCGCCUUUGCUAAUUGACUGGCGGAAAGACCUGCGCCCUAUGAUAGAAACCAUGUGAGGAGAGUACUUGGUGACCUGCCAUCCUUGCUGAACAUUCGACCAAAUAGGGAACCGAUCGAGGCUGCUACUAUGUUCUGGGAUGAGAAGAGAGUUGUUUUUCGAUUUGGCAAUAUAGAAAUGACUCCUCUCUUGGAAGAAAUAUGGGGUUUUGCCAAAUUACCAUGGGAUAGUCCAGGACUAUUGGUGCCAGAGAAUCACACUCUACGCGGUUUUCUAAAGAUGUUGAGUUUUAAGAAGAAUGAUGAAUUGGUCUAUCUGAAGAAAUCAUACUUCUCAUUUGAAUUUCUAUACGAGCGCUAUGGGCAUAGAAAAUAAUACCGCCUUCAUCAUGAUGAGCUAGCCAUUACCUCUUUGGGAUGGGUGCACCAUCGGGUUUAUGUUUGCAUAGUCUGUUUCUAUUGUCUGUUGAUCUUUCUAAUGCAAGGGGGAAGAAUUCCUACUCGAUUAGUGAUAAAGGGUGAAAAGUGCAUAUUUUGCGUGAGUGUAUGUGCCAUUUAUUAUGUGAUUUGCGGGAGUUCUCACCUCUUAUUAAGUGAAAAUAUGCUAAUUACGUGUUUCUUAUGUGUAGGAACAAACUUGCGCGGAAAAGGAUCAAAUGGAGAAAAAUUGGUGAAAAAAGAGCUGAAGAGAAAAGUCCAAGACAGCGAAGCGAGGUUCACUUCGCCAAACCUGGACCAGAGCAGAAGAAACAAGAAAAGUCCUGAACAACGAAGAGAGGUUCACUUCGCCAGACCGGGACCGGAGCAGAAAAAAUCAAUUUUUCCAAUCCGAAAUAGGAGAAGCCAAAUUCGGCCCAACUAAACCCUAAACCAUAUAAAUAUGAGAGUUAGCCACUUUUUGAAGGCAGAGAAGACUUUGGGGAGGCAAGAACACACUUGGAAGCAGAGAAAAGCCAUAACAGAGUUCGGAAACCGUGGAAUUCAUCUUGAGUUCUUAUUUUUCCCUUCUAUUGAUGAUUUUUAUGUAUUCUUGGAAAUUAAUUGAGAUUUUUACCAUGAUUAUGCGUGGCUAAACUCAUUUGUUCUAGGGUUAUGGUUUUACAUGAAUGUUGAUAUUCGGAGAUUGAUUUGAUGAUUUAAUUUAAUAUUAUGGGCUAUUUAUUCAUAUCCUGAGCCUAAUUAUUUUACUACCUGGCUAACAGUAAAAUACUAUAUAUGAAUCUUGAGUUGAACUUGAAAGAGGUAAUUCUUGAUUGCAGUAAAAUUGAAUAGAGCACGAUCUUGAACCCAGUCAUUGGGGAAUUGAUUUGUGCAUACGGAUAGAAAUAUACCUAUGUGUCGUGCUUAGCCAAUUUUGCAAGAGAUUAUUAAUGCGAUCGUUUAAUCUUUAAUCUCAUAGGAAUAUAGGGUUUAGAAUAAAUUGAUUAGGCGAGUAAAAAAUGUCAAAUUUCUACGACUAUUAUUGUCCUUGCAGGUUAAUAACCCAGAUAAAUUAAUAAGUCAAGUUAAUGGAAGAAUUCAAUAGGAUUGUUACAUAACCAUGACCCUGGAAUAUUAUUUCUCAUUGAAUUAAAUCUUUGGUGCUAAGUGUUCUAGUUCAUUAGUUUUUCUUUUACUUGCAAUUAUCAUUAGUAUAAUUAAUCAAACAAAAAUCACCUUGAAAUUAUUCUUGACUCAAUAAAUUAGAAAUUGCUUGAUUUAGUUGAUAAUUGAUCACAAGUCCUCGUGGGAACGAUACUCUACUCACUCUUUAUUACUUGAUUGACCGUGUAUACUUGCAUGUGUGAUUUAGGGCAACACUUAGCCGUGAUAAUUGAAGCUCGGGAAGCAAAUAAUCUACAAGCUCUCAUUCAACUUCCUGUUGAAGUGGCAGAUGAACACCCACUGGAGGUACAAGAGGUGGCUAUGCCCAGUAUUGCUAAUAUCACCUCCAGUAUCGUCAAUCCAAGGAUCACUCGGCAUUUCAAGCUUAAGCAGAGCAUCAUCCAUCUACUUGAUGCAAAUGGACAGUUUAUGGGACUACCACACGAGGACCCCCAACAACAUAUUCUGAAUUUUCUGGAGAUUAGUGAUACUUAUAUCACUAACGGGGUCACAUCUGAUUAUGUCAGGAUCACAUUGUUCCCUUUUUCUCUGUUGGGACAUGCCAAGAGAUGGUUGAAAUCUGAGCCAGCUAACUCUAUUGCAUCGUGGAAUGAUUUGGCUUGCAAAUUCUUGGCUAUGUUAUUUCCUUCUGGCAAAACCGCAAAGAUAAGAAGUGUGAUAGUUGCAUUCAAAUAGAGAGAAGGUGAAUCACUUUAUGCAGCCUAGGAGCGAUUGAAGGGGCUACUAAAAGACUGUCCACACCAUAAUCAAACCAACGAGGUACUGGCUCACACUUUUAUUGAAGGUCUGCAUCCUGAAAUAAAAGUAGUGGUAUACGCAGCAACUGGUGGUCAAGUAUUGGAAAAGAACUUUGAUGAGCUCUGUGCGUUGUUGAACAAGUUUUUCAAAAGCAACCCGGAUUGGCAAGGGAAGCAGGUAAACACACAGCCCAUAAAGUUGCCGGGGUACUUGAAUUGGAUGUUGUAUCAGCACUAUCUGCACAAGUAGAAUCUUUAGCAAAUCAAAUCAGUAAGAUGAAUGUGGUUGAGAACCAACAGAAGUUUUAACCAAUGCAACAGGUUCAACCAAUACAACAAGUGCAGGUAUUCUGCGAAGUCUCCGGCGAGGGCCAUACCAGUGAUACCUGUCCAGCGAAUCCAGAGUCAGUUUACUUUGUGGGGAAUGCUAAUAGAGGCCAAGCUAAUCAGAAUCAAUAUGGUAACACUUACAAUCCUAACAGGAGGAACCACCCAAACGUCUCUUGGGGUGGAACCCAAAGUGCUCAGAAUCAGUACAAGCGAAAACCUCCUCAACAGCAAUAUAUACCACCAAAGGCUGAGCAACCUACAAAUUUGAUGAGUCACAUCGAGGAUAUGCUAAAAAUGUUUAUGGCUGACCAGUAGGCCCAAACAGAUGGGGCAACUUGAUAUUGCCCAGAACACCAGACCAGCGAGAGCAUUACCUAGCGACACUAAGGCUAAUCCUAAGGCUCCUAUUAAUGCUGUGUCAUUAAGGAAUGGGAGAGAAUUAGAAGAAGCCCCAUCAAAGAAGAGAAAGCAAGUGACGUUUAGUGAAAAAUAACCAACCACAGAAGUUGAAUCGGAAAUUAUAAAAGAGUCAGAGAAGCCAGUUAAAGAGCCUGUAGCAAAGCAACCACAACCAAUAGUUUUAAAGCCACCACCUGCGUUCCCUCAAAGAUUGCAGAAAGUGAAGGAUAAUGCAGCGUACAAGAAGUUCCUUGAUAUUUUAAAACAAGUGCACAUUAACAUCCCAUUGGUGGACAUUUUGCAUGAAGUGCCAAAGAAUGCAAAGUACAUCAAGGAAAUUGUAGCAAACAAGCACAAGCUAACUGUGUUCGAGACUGUAGCACUCACUGAGAAGUGUAGUUCCAGAAUUCAGAAUAAGUUGCCUCCUAAAUUGAAGGACCCAGGAAGCUUCACAAUUCAAAUUUCAAUGGGGAAACAUGUGGUUGGGCGCGUAUUGUGUGAUCUUGGGGCAAGCAUAAACCUGAUAUUAUUGUUUGUGUUUCGACAGCUAGGGUUGGGAGACCCUCGACUGACUACGGUGGUAUUACAAUUGGUAGAUAUAUCCUUAGCCAGCGCCGAGGGGGUCAUUGAAGAUGUGCUGCUCCAAGUGGGAACAUUCAUAUUCCCAACUGAUUUUGUCAUCCUGGAUUACGAGCCUGAUCAGGAAGUCCCAUUUAUUUUGGGAUGACCAUUGCUAGCCAUGGGCCGAGAAAUUAUUGAUGUAUGUGAAGUACAAAUCACCGUGAGAGUGGGUGACAAAAUGGAGGUUUUCAAUGUAUACCGAGCGCUCAAAUUGCCUGCACACGAUGAAGAUUUAGCCAUGAUCACAACUGUGGAUAAGGAAUUGGCAGGCACAAUGCCAUACUUGGUGUCUGAAGAUCCUCUGAGAAGAGCUUUAAUUGAUGAAGAAGAAGAGGAGGAUGAUCUGGUGGAAGAACUUGAACAAGUUUUGAACAUGACAUGUCAAUAUGUCAAUGGGUUGAAGAGAUUUGAGGAAAUUCACAGGUCAUUGGCUUUGACACCACCUAAGCCAUCUAUUGAGGAGGCUCCAAAAUUAGAUCUCAAACCUUUACCUUCCCAUCUUCGGUAUGCUUACUUAGGUGCUUCGGAGUCCUUACAUAUUAUUAUAUCAUCCUCGUUAUCACAUGUGCAAGGGGACAAGUUGCUGCGGGUUCUGAGGGAACAUAAAGGGGCCAUUGGCUAGACUAUUGUUGAUAUCAAUGGAAUUAGUCUGUCAUUUCGCAUGCAUAAAAUAUUCCUGGAGGAUGGGCACAGACCUAGUGUGGAUAAACAUAGAUGAUUAAAUAAUAUUAUGAAUGAGGUAGUAAAAAAGGAGGUUAUCAAGUGGCUGGACGCUGGGAUCAAAUUUCCUAUUUCUGACAGCAAUUGGAUAUGUUAUGUGUAGUGCGUGCCAAAAAGGGGAGGCAUGAAAAUUGUGGCAAACGAGCAAAAUGAGUUGAUAACCUACAUAAACAGUGACAGACUGGAGGGUAUGCAUCGAUUACAGGAAAAUCAACAAGGAUACGCGCAAGGACCACUUCCCUCUCGCUUUCUUUGAUCAGAUGUUGGACAGGCUAUCCGAGCAUGAAUAUUAUUGCUUUCUUGAUGGUUACUCCGGUUACAACCAGAUAGUUAUAGCACCAGAGGAUCAGGAAAAGACUAUAUUUACUUGUGCCUACGACACCUUCGCUUUUAAAAGGAUGCCAUCCGGGUUAUUCAAUGCACCGGCGACUUUUCAAAGGUGUAUGAUGGCCAUUUUCACCGACAUGAACUACUAUUUCUCGAAUAAGCCAUUCUUGUAUUAGCAAUAUGUUGACCAACUGGUGAGGAGAUGCAUUCCGGAGAAGGAGGUAGAUCAGAUUUUGUACGAUUGUCACUCCUUACCUUAUGAUGGACAUCAUGGCGUGAUAGAACAGCUGCAAAAGUUCUGCAAUCGGGAUUCUAUUGGCCGACUCUAUUUAAAGAUGCCCAUUCAUUUGUGAAAAAGUGUGAUCGAUGUCAGAGAACUGGGACAAUCACUAAAAGAAUGAGAUGUUGCUCACGAACAUUCUUGAGGUGGAGAUUUUUGAUGUUUGGGGGAUCGAUUUUAAGAGAACAUUCCCAUCAUCUAGAGGGAACAAAUACAUCUUGUUAGCAGUGGACUACGUGUCUAAGUGGGUAGAGGCCAUUUCUUUACCUACUAAUGAUGCGAAGGUGGUAGCUAAUUUUGUCAAGAAGAACAUUUUUACACGUUUCGGGACCCCUCGAGCUUUGAUAAGUGAUGAAGGUACGCAUUUUUGCAAUACACUUUUGACAACAUUCUAGCUAAAUACGAGGUCAAGCAUAAAGUUUCCACCGCAUAUCACCCUCAGACAAGUGGGAAAUCAGAGGUAUCGAAUAGAGAAAUAAAGCAAAUCUUGGAGAAAUAGUCAGUGCAAAUAGGAAAGACUGGGCUGCAAUGUUGGAGGAUGCUCUAUGGGCGUAUAGGACUGCAUAUAACACACAUAUUGGGACCUCUCCCUACAAGUUGGUCUAUGGAAAAGCAUGUCACCUUCCAGUUGAGCUAGAACACAAGGCCUUUUGGGCCGCCAAAAAGCUCAAUAUGGAUAUGGAAUUGGCAGGUGAGAAGAGAUUGCUCCAACUAAAUGAGCUAGAUAAAUUCAGGCUAAAUGCAUAUAAGAACAUCAAGUUAUAUAAAGAAAAGACCAAAAGGUGGCAUGACAAGCAUAUCAAGCAUCACCAUUUCGAGUCGGGCUAGUUGGUAUUGAUAUUCAAUUCUAGGUUGAAGUUGUUUAAAUUAAAAUUGAGAUGGUCUGGACCUUUUGAAAUAGUGCGUGUGACACCAUACGGGGCUAUAGAAUUAAGAGCACCAAAUUCGGAAAGGACAUUCUUGGUCAAUGGGCAAAGAGUCAAGCAUUAUUGGGGUGGUGACGUGGAUCAUCAUAAGUCCUCAAUUGCCUUAAAAGAUGCUUAAGAAUUGGUUUUGUCAUGCCGUGACUUUAAAUCAGGCGCUUGUUGGGAGGCAACCCAACUUUAUUGUUUCUCUCUAGUUGCUAUUUCGUUAAAGAACGUGUGGAGGCAGCAGAGAAGUGGAGGUCUCUUCGUGAGACUGAGAUCGAGAAUGUUAAGGAGAAAAUUUUUGGGGGGAAUCGAAGUGCUCAUAGCUUUGCGAGACUGGGACUGGCCACAACUGAGACAGCAACGGGACGCGUCUCCAGGUCACGCGUCGCACGGGCCUGGCACGACCCCCAAGUAUUUUUUAUUUUAUUAUUCUUUUUUUUUACUUUUGUUUCUAGUUGUUUUACCACAAAAAUAAAGUAACAUAAAAAUAAAAAUAAAAACUUUUCCCUCUCUCACUCAAAAGCGCACAACCCCCCUCCCCAUUUUUCUUCCUCACUCUUCCCCCAUCGCCCCAUCUCCCCAAGGUAAGAACUCUCUUUCUCUCAUUUUGUUUCUUUUUCGUCUACUCCUCCCUCCCCCAUGGGAGUCCUCUCGAAUGUUUUGGUGAGGUUUAGUGAAGUCUGAGUAACUAACCUACCUCUAUUGGCAAUACAAACUUCUCUUAAGUGUGGGGUGGUCGUUGGGUGUCUUAUGAACUUCAAUUGUAUUCUUUCUAAGACUAGUGUCAUUCGCGGCCGACUUAGCCAUGACUUAGAUGUUGCCUUCCCCACUUAUUCUUGAAUUGUACUAACUAACAUGAAAUAAAAUUAUAGACUAAUACAAAGGAGCUCCAAAAGGUUGAUUUCAGUGCUACUGAUGGCACUAUUGCGGAGGAGCCAGGACUAGCUGUUAUGACUGUAGCGGGUGUGGGGAAUGUUGUGACUGAUUUUCCUCCUAUUUGGGAGGGCGAGCUAAUUAAGGCAGUUGACGCGUCUGGAGUCGCACUAGAGGAGCCAGCACUUUCGGGGACUGAGGUGACAGUCCUUGCCACGACCCCAGUGAUUUUGAGGGAAUUUCUGACAUCCACUCUACUUUUGAUCUUGCUUAUUUGUGUUUUUUGUGAUAUUGUGCAACUGAGGACUGAUAAGUGGGAAUUUUGAAUGCUUAUUAGCACCUUUUAGUUUUUGUUUUAGUCUGAAAGUAUUGAAUUGUGUUCCCGAAACUAAUGAAAUUGUGCAAAUUAUAGGAAUGUUGGAAUCUUGGUCUCCUGAGAUGAAAUCCGACUCAAAAAGGAGUGUUCUGAAGCACAAGGCAAUAAAGGGCGCAGAAGCAUAAAUGUACGGUCCACAGAAGGAAUUCUACGGCCGCAGAAGAAAUUGUGGACCGGAAAAUUCCAUAUGUAGCCGCAAACCAAAAAGGAAAAUCUAGUAGACCUUUCAGCAAUAUGCGGACUGCAAAUGAAUUGUGCGGUCGCAAAACUGGGCUAAGAGUCAAAGAUCAGAGAGUAUGAAAAAAGACCAAGACCAAGUGCCUUUGUGAAUUGCGGACCGCACAAGAAAUGUGUGGCCGCAUAAGAUUGCCUCGCGGCCGCAAUCCAAAAAUUUGCAGCCGCAGAACUCCACUUCCUGCCAGCUGAAGAAAUCUGCAGACCGCACAUGGAAUUAUGCGGCCGCAGAACCUCCCGAGGGGUAUUUUUGUCCGAGAUUUUCAGCCAUGUAUAAAUAGACGAAUUUCAAAAAAUUAGGUCAAGUUUUGAGCAUCUGAAGUUGCUGUAGCCAUUUUUCUUUACUACUUUAGGAAGUUUUACAUUACUUUGGUGUAUUUAGAUUAGAUUUAAUCAUUUUAAUCCUCCCAUUAUGAGUUUAAUUAGCUUUUCUUCCUUAUUUUCUUCAAAUAUCAUUAUGAGUAGCUAGACUAUUACUAGGCUUGUGACCCAACCCUAGUGUAUAAACCUUAUGGGUAUCUAAUUUAGUGCUUGUUUAUGAUUGGGUGUUGAUUAUUUAGCUUAGUUCAUGCUUUAAUUGUAGAAUUUAUGGUUGCAAACAUUAGUUCAUGCCUAUUUGACUUUGUCUCCACUUGAAAAAGAGGGACCUAGUCUAGGAUAACUUAGCUAAUAAGAAAUUUGGUCAAUUGAGAGAUUGAUUAACCCAAUUAAAGGGUUCAACCUAAAGAUAGUGAUAACCCGACUUGAGCUCUUAUCAGCAGUUUUGGAUGAUACCCAUUUGGUCUUGAGAAAGCCAAAUUGGGCAAAAGCACUCUCUGAUCGAGAGGUAUUGAGUGGGUAACAUAGAGUUGAGAGCUAUAACACACCCCAAUCAACAAAACAAGCAUUAACAUCUUUAUCCCAUUAGGCAAACACCUAGGUUAUGGUCACAGCCCUAGGCCUUUUACCCAUUUGAAAAAAAAAACUUAAAAACAUUUAUCUCUAGUGUAUUUUCUUUAUCUUGCAAUCAUUAGAUUAACAGUAGAAAUAAGAAACCAAAACUUAUUAUGAAAGUGCAAUCUAGAUAACCCAUUUGCUUGCUUUAAAUAUAUACUCCUAACUCCCCAUCAUAACUCCCAGUGGAUUCAACCCCGACUCCUAGUUGGGUAAUUAUUAUUGCAUACGACCAUGGCAUAUCUCUUAUUGAGGUGUGUUGUGGAUGUGAUUAAGGACAGUGAACAUUCUUAAGUGUGAGGUGGAGUGUUGGAGUGUUAGACUUUGAUUUUUGUGACAUGUGCUUAAUUGCUAGUGAAACAUUUGUAAUUACAUGAGCACACUUAUGGCCAUUGUAGUCAUUGUUUUAGUGGCUUAAUCCCGGGUUUCUUUAAACCACGGUUCUUUCCCGAGAUGCCAUUUUCUUGAACCGGGUAUUUUUAGGUAGAUUCUCUUUUGAUCAUUAUGGACUUUUCCCGAUGAUGGAUUACCUAGAUGGUUUUCUUGAGGGACUGAAGUCUAAAGAAAAAUACUAAAAGAUUUUUUUUUAACUGAUAAUAGAAUAGGAAGAACUUGAGCAUCUAUGCUAUUGACAUAUUUUAUAUCGAGGCUUAGGUUCCGAGCAUUUGAACUGAGUACUUUCGUCACUUUCGUUAUGAUCUUUAUAAUUACAUGCCUUGACAAUAUGUGUGGUUUUCUUUUGACAUUUAUGCUCAUUUGCUGACUCCUGUGAUUACUUCCUAAUUGUUGGAAUUGUUAUAAUGACUAUGCUUAGUUGUUUAACCUGAGAGUCGGGCUUAAUCCAUCCGGAGUGAAUCAUGUGCAUUGUGUGAUGUGAGGUCUUGAUUACAUUUUGUGCUAUCUUGUGUUAGUCUAGAACUUGCCCCGUGUGUUAGUUAAAGCAACAUAAGUAAGCUUUAUGAGUCUAGGAGAUGAUGUAGGCAUUUCUUUGAUUGUCCAUUGAGCUGCCACCAUAAACAAAAUUAUCCUUAGAUGGCCCAUUUGAGCCUAUAAACCUUUUCUUUGGCACCCACAUUACAAACAUGUCCCCUUUUUAUUCUUAGUUAGAUUUUGUUGAACCUUUACCUCCAAAAGCACUUAAGUCGCUAGAAGAGUAAGGUGAGAGUUGAGGUAGAUUUUGAGUGGAACCAUAGAAAGGCCAAAAGAUGCACGUAUGUUUUGAAAGAUCAUUAGCUGGGAAACCUAAAUGGGGAGAGUGUUGAAAAAUAAAUAAGGCCAUACACAAUACAAAAUAAAACAAAAAGAAAGAAAAAAAAUUAAUAGAAAAUACACAUAUUCCUCUUAUCUAGCUAGAGAAUGCAUAGUUGUGCUUAAAGAGAAAGGCCGAAUUGUACAUGGUUUCAUGAUAUUGCUUGGAUUGGUCAUGAAGAGCGUGUAUUUGAAAGUUAAGUGUAGUGUAUUAAAGUGCUUAAGAGCUUUAGUCACUAUACAUAAGUAUAUCCUACCCAUCCCUUAGCCUACAUUACAACCUGAAAAGACCUAUUUGAUCCUAGAGUUCGCAAGCUUAGAUAACUAGAGACAUAUACUACGGGCAAGCCUAUGGUACGACCUCGGGAUGCACAUGAAAUUCUUUGAGAGAGUGAGCGAGUUCUUUUGAUUUGUAAGUCCUUAUAAUAUACUUGAAUGCAUGUUUGAGUGUGUGGGAUAAUUUCUAAUCUUUGAUUUGUGGUGAGGGCACAUGAGUUACAAAGGAUUGGUAAAGUCCAGGCAUUUUGAAUUGGCACAAUAAGUGAGUUAUAGUAGGGAAUGUAUUGGAGUCAUCUUUUGAGGUUAGGAUGUUGUCACACAAAUAUUUUAAAUAGUCUUGGCAUGACUCUAAUGUUGAAGAAAGAUGUCAAUAGUUAUUAUAUUAGAUUUUAAGUGUUGAUAUAAAUCAUUGUUAUUGGUGUGAUGCUCGAGUACGUUUUAAAAUAUGUUUCUUGCCUAUGCGCUUAAUUUUAAGUUUCUUAAGGACGAGCAAGAGUUUAAGUGUGGGGUGGUGAUAAAGGGUGAAAAGUGCAUAUUUUGAGUGAGUGCAUGUACUAUUUCUUGUGUGAGUUGCAGGAGUUCACACCGCUUUUGAAGUGAAAAUAUGAUCAUUACACGUUUCUUAUGUGUAGGAACAAACUUGCGCGGAAAAGGAUCAAAUGGAAGAAAAAUUAGUGAAAAAAGAGCCGAAGAGAAAAGUCCUGAUCAGAGAAGCAAGGUUCACUUCGCCAGACUGGGACCAGAGCAGAAGAAACCCAAAAAGUCCCGGACAAUGAAGCGAGGUUCACUUUGUCGGAUCGGGACCGGAGUAGAAAAAAUCAGCUUUCCCAAUCUGAAAUAGGAGAAGCCAAAUUCGGCCCAACUAAACCCUAAACCAUAUAAAUAUUAGAGUUAGCCACUUUUUGAAGGGAGAGAAGACUUUGAGGAGGCAAGAACACACUUGGAAUAAAAGAAAAGCCAUAACAGAGUUCGGAAACCAUGGAAUUCAUCUUGAGUUCUUAUUUUUCCCUUCUAUUAUUGAUUUUUAUGUAUUCUUGGGAAUUAAUUGAGAUUGCUACCAUGACUAUGCGUGGAUAAACUUAUUUAUUCUAGGGUUGUGGUUUUACAUGAAUGUUGAUAAUCGGAGAUUGAUUUGAUGAUUUAAUUUAUCAUGUUGAGUUGUUUAUUCAUAUCCUAAGCCUAAUUAUUUUUUUGCCUAGCUAACAGUGAAAUACUAUAUAUGAAUCUUGAGUUGAACUUGAAAGAGGUAAUUCUUGAUUGCAAUAGGAUCGAAUAGAGCAUGAUCUUGAACCUAGUCAUUGGGGAAUUGAUUUGCCCAUACGGAUAGAAAUAUACCUAUCUGCCGUGCUUAGCCAAUUUUGCAAGAGAUUAUUAAUGCGAUCUUUUUAUCUCUAAUCUCAUAGGAAUAUAGGGUUUAGAAUAAAUUGAUUAGGAGAGUAGAUGUUGUAAAAUUUCUACAAGUAUUAUGGUCCUUGCAAGUUAAUAACCCAGAUAAAUUAAUAAGUCAAGUUAAUUGAAGAAUUCAAUAGGAUUGUUACAUAACCAUGACCCUGGAAUAUUAUCUCUCAUUGAAUUAAUCUUUGGUGCUAAGUGUUCUAGUUCAUUAGUUUUUCUUUUACUUGCAAUUAUCAUUAGUAGAAUUAAUCAAACAAAAAUCACCUUGAAAUCGUUCUUGACUCGAUAAAUUAGAAAUUGUUUGAUUUAGUUGAUAAUUGAUCACACGUUCUCGUGGGAACGAUACUAUACUCAUACUUUAUUACUUGAUUGACCGUGUAUACUUCCAUGCGUAAUUUAGGGCAACACUUAGCCAUGGUCGCCAGGACCUUGAUUGAGGGUAUUGAGGGGCAAAAGUACACUAUCAUCCCGAUGAUCUUAGCUGAGAUGUACCGUGCUCUGGAUCGGUGCAAGCAUGGGUCCGGACAUUUUGAGGGUUGUAAUCUAUUGCUACAAGUUUGGCUGUUGGAAGACUUUCAGAGGGGUGAGUAUCGCCGGGAGCUUCUGCGGAGGCCACUGAAUGACUACAUAACCAGUCAUCAUCAAAAGAAGAUGACAUUCAUUCUAGACAUGUUUGCAAAGCCUGGAAAUGUUGUAGGAUGGGUGCGUUUCUUCAGCAAUCUGACAAACGAGCAAGUGCAUUGGAAGUUUGAAUGGUUUCCUAGUAGUGAGUUCAUUAUCAGAUCCAAAGGAACUACUCACUCAGUAUUGAUCGGGUUGUGAGGCAUUCAUCCUUAUGCUCCUAUAAAGGUAAUGAGGCAAGUUGGAAGGAAACAAGUCAUAUCUCGGGUUUCCAACAUGGUUCAGUAUAAGGCAGAUUUCAAAGGGGAUGUCAUCCCGUUCAAAUUCGAAGCGCAACACAUAUGGAAACAAAAGAUCAACGUGAAAGGAGAGACUAUUGAACUAGACAGGUAUUACGCCGGUCAUAUGUACUACUACCUCUCAUGGUUGGAGGAUGACAUAGCUUGGGGCGUCAAACUGGGAGUUAAUCUGAAACAUAGGAUCAUAGAUGAAAUGGCUAAGGCACGGGUGGAGUAUAAAAGGCUACGUAAAAGGGUGUAGGAAUCGGAAGCUAAGCAUUUGGAACAACAUAAAGUGAAUAUGGAGGCGAUAAAAGAAUGGAAGGAGAUUGCCAAUAAGCCGACAGAGAGGUUAGAACAUCUAGAGCAAGGAUUGAUGGAACUAGAGGGGAAGAUGAGAAAAUGGCUUUGGGAUUGUCAGGGCAUGGACGAUGAUGAAGGAGGGAAGCUGGCAAAAGCUUAAUUGCUACUGGACAUGCGUGAUCUGGGAACAUGAUUGAUGGGGUCAAGAGAGCCAAGCACGGAGAAGGUCCUUCAGGGACCAAGUAAACUAAGAGAUAAUGUUCUUUACUACUUUCUAGAUUAGAUAAGAUUUCGUUGUAAUAAGGCUUAAUGCCAUUAGUGACUUUAUAAUUAUUAUCGAUUUAGCGAAAGAUUGAUUUGGCUUAUUUUCGCACUAAUGGAAUGAGGAAAACAUUGGCAUACAUUUUAUUCAAGUCUAUGUGUCGCUUAGGUCUACCUCAGGCACAAUGAGGUCCCCAAAUUAGGAUGCGAUUUACUGCAUGACCUUAUGUGAUACAUGAUUAAAUAUUCCAAAAACUCUUUUACUUCGUCUUACUUACUUGGUUACCUUUUGUUUUUAUUUCUUUUGAUUACUCUCAUUCUCAAAGGUUAGUUCGUGCGUUCUGGCAUCAUCAACUUACCACACCAAAUCCAGAGGUCCUCCACCUAGCGAUCCGAAAAACAAAGGCAAAAGGAAGAUGGAUGAUCUAAGUAGUAACCGAAGAGACAGUGCUACCAUAAUAGAGAAUGUUGAAACCUCGAAUGGAAGAAGUACGCCGGAACAGAAUGACUUGGUCUUACGUUUGGAGCAAAAAAUACGGGAGCUGCAGGGUGAGCUUGAAUAGGUCCGAAAUUUGGUAAACCUCUCCCUUACUCUAAAUGUUCCUGACAUCAACCAGCAAAACACAAUCACUCAGAACCAAACACCACCGCAAAACACACAAACCCAAAAUCCACCACCCAUAGCUUUGAAUCCUCCUGGAGUGCACCAGUAUCACAAUCCCGCACCUCCCCAAAACCCUAACCCAGCACCAAUGCAAACCCCUCAACAACACCAUCCUUACCCGACCCAAUAUCCACAAACCACCGCUUAUCACACUCCUUAAAACUCACCACAACUUACCCUUGAUCCCCCUCAAACAUAAAUCAAUGAUCACCCAUAUACCCAAGUUCCAGGAAAGGUAACCUGAUAUACAUGGAAACCUUAACCCAUACCCCACAACAAACCCCAUACAUACCUGAGCCGAUAGAGAAGGACUUGCUCAUUCGAAACAUGAGAAGAUAUCAAGAAACUAACAGGGAGAGUCCAAAGUAUUGAAGGUGGGAAGGGUGUUGAAGGUUUAAACUACGAAGGUUUGUGUAUCCAGCAAGAUGUAGAAUUGCUGGAGGGUUACAAACCCCUCAAGUUUGAGAUGUUUGAUGGAACCAGUGAUCCAAAGGUGCAUCUGACAACUGAAUGCUACAAGCUUGUAGGAGUGGGUAAGAAUGAACAAAUCCGCAUGAAACUGUUCAUGUGCAGUCUUACCGAAGACGCAUUAUCUUGGUAUAUCAGUCAGAAUCUGAAGAAGCGAGUGAAUUGGGUGAGCAUGGAAUCAGAUUUCAUAGACUGAUUCAGAUUCAAUACAGAGAACACGCCAGACAUUUUCUAUAUCCAGAACCUCAAGAAAAAGCUAAUAGAAACCUUCCACGAGUAUGCUACUCGUUGGAGACCAGAGGCCACCACUUGAAGAAGAACAAAUGAACAAGUUCUUUGGCAGAGCUCAGGAUCUGUAGUAUUACGAAAGAUUGAUGGUUAUCGAGAAUCACAAGUUCUCAGAUAUCAUCAAGUUAGGAGAAAGGAUAGAAGAAGGAAUUAAGAGUGGGAUGGUGACCAAUUUUGAGGCGCUGCAAGCCACAAACAAAGCCUUGCAAUCAGGAGGCAUCUCGAAGAAGAAAGAAAUGGGUGUCGUGAUGGUAGCCCAGGGACCUAAGUCUCCCCUUACAUACCAAACACCUCCACCUACAUAUCAACCCUCACCUCCAAAUUACCAAAACUCUACCACCACCUACCAUACCUAUAACACCCAACCCGUAUAUUACCAUUCACCUCCACCCGCCCGCCAAAAUUACCCAAAGCCACGAUCAAACUUUGACCGCAGAACUCCCAGACAAUACACCCCAAUCGCUGAACCCAUAGCCCAACUGUAUGAGAGACUAAAGGUCGUUGGUUAUGUCACCCCUAUUCUUAUUGUUGUUGAGAACCCUUCCUAGUGGGUUAACCCCAACAAAACUUGUGCCUACCAUUCGGGCAUGAAGGGUUAUAUAAUCGAAGAAUGUCGCAUGUUGAAGGAUAAGAUUUAGACAGUAAUCGAUGCCAAGGUUAUACAAGAAAAUGAAGCCGCGCCAAAUAUCCGUAAUAAUCCUCUCCCGGAUCAUAGGGGCGAGGGAGUGAAUGUAAUAGAAAAUGAUGAGGAAUGGAAUCAGGAGGAAUCCAUCGGACUUAUUCGAGAGGGGGAUACUCCUAAAACAUCUCCUUUCACCCUAUCGCCGAUUGUGGUGCAAACCCAAGCACCAUUUGAGGUCGAGGUAGCUACGUCUUUUACUGUGAUGGUAGCUCCCACACCGUCUUAUAAGUUUGAUGUAUCCCACGGGAUUAUGUUGCGGAGGCAAGAAUAAAGGGAAAAGCCAAGAUGGAAGAGAUAGGUAUUGCUCAAGGUAUGACUAGAACUGUCAGAGUUUACACACCUGAGAAUCUUGGAGGAACAAGCACAGAAACUGCAUCUAAGCCACAUGUCAUCAAGACAGGCACUGACGAUCUUUGGAGGAAGGUACAAGCGAGGGAGUACUAUAUUGUUGAUCACCUAAACAAGACUCCCGCUCAAAUAUCCAUCUUGUCGCUAUUGCAAAAUUUAGACGAGGACAAGCAUGCCUUGAUAAAAGUGUUAAGUGAAGCUUAUGUACCCGCCGGGGUCACUAGUGGGGAGAUGGCUAACAUGGUUGGACAGAUACUGGAGAGUCACAAAAUUACUUUCCACGAAGAUGAGUUACCGCCAGAAGGGUUGAGUCACAACAAAGCGUUGAAUAUCAAUGUGCAAUUUGAAGAUAAGUUCAUUGCCAUGGUCCUGAUAGAUGGAGGUUUGAGCCUGAACAUAUGCUCACUGACCACUCUAAAAAGAUUAGGUAAAGGCCUGCAUGAGAUACGGAUGGGAAGCAUAAAUGUGAAAGAGUUCGAUGGAUCUCAGAGAGCCACUAUCGGAGAAAUUAACCUUGAUCUAGAGAUGGGCCCAACCUGGUUUGAUGUCAAAUUCUAAGUGCUAGACAUAUCCGCCACCUACAACCUAUUGUUAGGACUACCAUGGAUACAUGUAGCUGGGGCGGUCGCUUCUACCGUGCACCAGGUUGUGAAGUUCGAGUGGAAUCAUCAGGAGGUAAUCAUUCAUGGAGAUGGAAGUAACUUUAUUUACACCAACCACAUUGUGCCAGUCAUCAAAAAGAGGAGGAAAUUGGGAGGAGAAACAUACCACCGCAUUGAGUGAGUAAACACAAUUGAGAAGGAUUGAUGGUGGAGCAAUAAGAUAGAAAUCAUAUUAAUGUGGUUAGGAUAUGAACCCGGCAAAAGUCUUGGCCGAACGCUUCAGGGGAUCACAGAACCCAUACGACCACAAUAUCAUGGCACGACCUUUGGUCUUGGAUAUGAAUAUACUAUGGAAGAAUACUAGGAUUGGACACCACCAUGGCGUACCAAUUACUAUCCGCUGGAACAACCCAUACCACCACUGCACCAAACAUUCCUCCAGACAUGAGGAAGUUGUUUCUAGACAAGGAAGAUAUGGACUGUAGUGCAAUUUUAGAGGAGGAGGAGGAGGAAGGCCUUACUAUUCAUACAGUGGGAGAAGGAGUUGUUCUCAAGAACUAGACCGCUGCAUCGUCCGGGGCUCACCGAGUACCUGGGUAGCCUUGGCAGAAUUAGCAUUCUUUAUUUUCAAAAUGUUUUUGGGCAUUUAAGACUAUCAGUACUUUGUUUUGAAAUAAUUACUCGAGCCAUCGAGUUGUACUUGUUGACAAUUUUAAGUUUUAUUAAUGCAUUAAUGCUUUUCGUGUAUUUAUUAUUAUCUUUCUAUAUUAUUUUCAACGUAAUUAUGACAUAUUAUGAUGAACCUACGACUGUGAUAUGUAAUAAGACAGCACAAUAUAAGGAAAGUGAUUCGGAAGAUUUGGAAGAUGAUAUAAUGCCUAAGGAAAUUGUCAAAGAGGUAGAGAAUUUUGAGAACAAACCAAAGUCCAACUUGGAAGAAACUGAGGUAGUUAACUUAGGAGAUUCUGAAACAGUCAAAGAAACUCACAUAAGCAUUCAUCUAUCAACAUCAGAGAAGGAAGAGUAUAUAAGGUUACUAAAGGAAUAUGAGAAUAUUUUUGCAUGGUCCUACGAUGACUUGACUGGGUUAAGCACAUCCAUAGUAGCUCACAAGCUACCUACCAACCCCAUGUGUCCGCUGGUAAAGUAGAAGCUCAGAAAAUUCAAGCAAGAUAUGAGUCUGAAGAUAAGGGAAGAGGUUACCAAGCAAAUCAAAGCCCAGGUCCUUCGAGUGGUCGAAUACCCGACCUUCUUAGCUAACAUUGUGCUGGUUCCGAAGAACAAUAGGAAAGUUAGAGUGUGUGUUGACUAUCGAGAUUUGAACAGAGCGAGUCCUAAGGAUGAUUUCCCGUUACCUAACAUACACAUACUAAUUGACAAUUGCUCCAAGCAUGAACUCCAAUCCUUUAUGGAUUGCUUUACAGGAUACCACCAGAUUUGGAUGGAUGAAGAGGACGCUGCAAAGACAGCCUUUAUCAUGCCAUGGGGAUAUAUUGCUACAAAAUAAUGCUAUUUUGUUUGAAGAAUGAUGGGGCCACCUACAUGAGGGCCAUGAUGACUCUUUUCCAUGAUAUGAUACACAAAGAGAUAGAGGUGUACAUGGAUGAUGUUAUCAAGAAAUCUAAGAGAAGUUCAGAUCACAUAACACACGGGGAAGUUUUUCGACUGACUUUGAAAAUACAAUUUGAUGUUAAACCCUGCAAAGUGUGCUUUCGGAGCCCCUACUGGGAAGUUUCUAAGAUUCAUUGUCAGUCGCCGUGGUAUUGAGCUAGACCCAUCAAAAAUCAAAGCUAUACAGGAAUUUCCACCACCAAAGAACAAGAAGGAUGUGAUGAAUUUUUUUGGGACAUCUUAAUUAUAUCAGCCAUUUUAUAGCACAAUCGACGGUGAUAUGCCGAUCUUUAAGAUGCUGAGGAAAGAUGAUGCGACAAGCUGGACCAAAGAAUGUCACAAAGCUUUUGACAAAAUCAAGGAGUACUUGUGUAAGCCACCCGUAUUGGUCCCGCCAGAGCCAGGAAGACCUUUACUGUUGUAUUUGUCCGUGUUGGAUAGAGCCUUUGGUUACAUUCUGUCAUGAUGAAACCGAGAGGAAAGAUAAGGCAAUACAUUAUACGAGUAACAAGUUCACACCUUACGAGGCAUGUUACUCUUUGUUAGAGUGCACAUAUUGUGCUUUGACAUGGAUAUCCCAGGAGUUAAGACAUUAUUUCUGUGUGUACACUACAUAUCUCAUAUCAAGGAUGGAUCCACUAAAAUACAUCUUUCAGAAACCCAUGCCUACAGGUAUAUUAGCAAAGUGACAGAUAUUGCUAAGUGAGUUCGACAUCAUUUAUAUGACUCAGAAGGUAGCCAAGGGGCAAGCAUUGGCCAAUCACUUAGCAGAGAACCCUGUAGACGGAGAAUACAAACCAUUGAAGAUGUAUUUUCCCGAUGAGGAAGUGUCGUUUGUAGGUGAAGAUAUUUCAGAAACAUAUGACAGUUGGAGGAUAUUUUUCGACAGAGCAGCAAACUUCAAGGGAGUGGACAUUGGGGUUGUCUUGGUAUCAGAAACCGAUCAACAUUAUCUGGUAUCCGCAAAGCUCAGGUUUAUAUGCACCAACAAUAUGGCGGAAUAUGAGUCCUACAUCUUGGGACUCAGAUUGGCCAUCGACAUGAAUAUUCAGGAGUUGCUAGUAAUCGGAGAUUCGGAUAUAUUGGUACAUUAGGUACUAGGAGAAUGGGCUACCAAGAACACUAAAAUAUUUCCAUACUUGCAUUAUGUACAAGAGUGGAUCAAGAGGUUCACAAAGAUAGAAUUCAAACAUAUUCCAAGGAUUCAGAAUGGGUUCGCAGAUGCAUUAGCCAUGUCUUCCAUGAUACAACAUCCAGACAAGAAUUUCAUCGAUCCUAUCCCAAUAGAGAUUCGUAAGCAACCAGCUUAUUAUGCUCAUGUUGAAGAAGAGUUUAACAAAAAUCCAUGGUUCCAUGGUAUCAAGGAAUACUUGGAGAAAGGAGAAUACCCAUAGAAUUCUACACACACUCAGAAGCGCACGCUUCGAAGAUUGGCCAACCAUUUCUUUCAGAGUGGAGGAAUUCUAUAUAGAAUGACUCCUGAUUUAGGAUUGUUGCGAUAUGUCAAUGCCAAGGAGGCAUCUAGAUUGCUCGAAGAAAUACAUGCGGGAACUUGCGGAUCUCACAUGAACGAUUUUGUUUUGGCCAAGAAGAUAUUAAGAGCAGGGUAUUUCUGGAUGACCAUGGAGACAGACUGCAUCAAAUAUGUUCAAAAGUGUCACCAAUGCUAGAUGCAUGCUGAUAUGAUACGAGUGCCACCUAAAAAAACUCAAUGAAACGAAUUCACCCUGGCCUUUCUUUGCUUGGGGAAUGGAUGUCAUCGGACCAAUUGAACCCGCUACUUUAAACGGACACAGGUUAAUUUUGGUGGCUAUAGACUACUUCACAAAAUGGAUUAAAGUUGCUUCCUAUAAGGCUGUGACUAAGAAGGUCGUAGCGUAUUUUGUCCGGGAUUAUAUUGUUUGUCGUUUUGGAGUACCUCAGUCAAUCAUUACUGACAAUGCUGCCAAUCUCAACAGUGAUCUGAUGAAAGCUAUGUGCGAAACAUUCAAGAUCAAGCAUCGAAAUUCUACACAUAUAGGCCACAGAUGAAUGGAGUCGUAGAAGCCGCCAAUAAGAACAUCAAGAAGAUAUUGAGGAAGAUGGUGGACAACUACAAGCAAUGGCAUGAGAAGCUACCAUUUGCUUUGCUCGAGUAUCGCACCACAAUUUGUACGUCCGCCAAGCAUUGCCUCAUCACAUACAAGGCUAAGUGUUGCCUUAUCUCAUUAUCGCAUAUAACUAAGCAUCAGUUGUUCCGGCUAUCAAACAAUCGAUAGCUCCGCAUCUUUGCAUUUCAUGGUUUGAAACAUCACCACAUUGUCUUUAGGCAUCAUAGUCUAAAGGCAUCACCCUCAUAGCUCGAAGAUAUCAUGCCAUGGUCGGAGGAACUCUCGAAACUACAUAUCAUUAUUCAAAGGCAUCAUAGUCCAGAGGCAUCAUCCUCAUGGCCCAAGGACACCAUUUCAUGGCCUGCGAAUCUCUUAUCAUACACUUCAUGGCCCAGGACGUCAUCCUCAUCGUCCAAAGACAACUCCCAUGGUCCGAAGGGAAUUUGCAUCAUGUUUAAAUUUUUGCAUUAACCCUUUAUAUAUUCACGUGCAUCGUAUUUUAAGUUUUGCAGGUAACUCGGGAGGUAACCUUUCUACAAACGGAAGCAAUCCUCGCUCCGGUUCCCGUUCACAACGUUCACAUCCUUUGAUUAUCUCAAACGUUGCCGACAAUCAGCAAUUGUUUACUCUUUGUCCCGUAACCGCCCAAACAUUUAUCUCAAAUACUCGUAACAUUCAAAUUUGCAUUCAUAACUUCAACUGAAAUCACCCGUUACUAAUGAUACUACCCUACCCAAGAUCCUUUUUCGAAACAUAUGACCAUUCUUAUAGCAACUCAAUCGGUUUCGUUCGCCAUUUGAUCCAGAACUACACACGACCUGAUUCCCUUAACACCAGGGAUAUGUAGGCAACUCAAGAACCAGGGUUCGACACCCAUAUUUUCAAACACACAUCAUCCUCGCUCAUUUCAGACAAAAUUAGUCAUUAUUUUCUUUACCCGACAACUCUUUCAUCAUUCACGGGUAAAGAGGGGCAGUUGUUGAUACUCAAUUUUGCCCUCAUAAUAUAAAGUAUUGCAUAUACUUUCAAAAUAUCACUUUUCACUAUUACCCAAUUUACACGGGUUAUUUAAGUAUUUUCUAUAAUUUUUUAAAGCUUUAAAAUUGAUUUUUCUUGCAUUUAAAUUAUCCAAAUAUUUAUUAAUUAUCCUUUCAAAUUAUUUUGUGAUGACUUAAUUAUCCAAAUUUAUUAUUUACACCCACAUGUAUGUUUUAUAACACUUUGCUUCAUUUCAUUAAAUUAUAUUUGUAUUUUUGAGUUAUUUACAUAAUUAUUUGCAAUAAUAGCCUAUAUUCUAUACAUAAUUAUAUUUAUUACAUUAUUAAUGCUAAAUAAGCAUUGUUAUCUUUUUAUAAUGUUACGCUAUUAUUUUCAGGCAUUUUACUGCAAAAAUAAUAUUUUAUUAUUUAUUAAUUACUUUUUUAAAAUUAUUUUUACUAAUUUUCGUGUAUUUAAACCAUGGCCCAAUAUUUGAGUUAAUUUCGGACCCAAUACACUAGCCUUGACCCCAAAAACCUAGCCCAAUGGCCCCAAGCCCAAACCAGGCAACCCUCUUAAUGAACCCGGUCAUACCCAUUUAAAUGGCGCACCACAUUCUCUCCUUCUAUCUCAACUGUUGAUCGUAGAAAUCAAUGGCCCACAAACCAUCUUCCAUCUUUAAUUAACCCACCCCAAACCCUAAUGCCCAUUUUUCCUGAGACGUCACCCCCAGACACUCCCAAUCCUUCUUCCUCCCUAAGAAACCCUAGCUGCCUCAUAUCAAAUCAUUCUCUCAUUCCGGCUAGACAAUGGAAUCUCCUUGUGAUUCACCUUUCUUAUUUGUGUUACCGCAUCAAUAUCUACGCGAUAAUGGUGUUACCUAGUACUUGUCUAAACUUGGCAAGUACCAUCUCUCAUAAUCGGACCCGUUCAACUUCAAUAUCCAUGAUUUGGACAAUAUCUCGUCCAUACACAUGGAAGAGGUUGAUUUCUCACACCAGCAGACUAAUUUUCAAACAUUGAACCCUAAUUAGGGUUUAAUUCGAUUUCUCCCUUUACCGGCUCUCUUAUUGAUUAUAUGUGAUAUUUUAUUUCCUUAUUUAUUCUUAAUUGAUUGAUUUCCAUGUUUGUUCGUUCAAUCUCUACUACUAUAUAAACCACCCUUUUCGUUCCCCUCUAAAGCUUAACAACUAUUACUUAGCUAAAAUUACUACCACCAUUCUCCCACUCUCACAUAUUCUAUAUUAUUCUGAGACUUUGAUUUUGGCCGGCUAAAAACCAAGGCCACCGGAAUCUAUUCAUUAGCCUCCUCCAGUGCAAGCACUGCUCGGAGCCCACUUCGAGGCACUUGUGAACUCUGAAGCACUGGGAUUUGGGGUUUCACUGUUCUCCAGAAAUCACAGCUAUUCCUGAGAUUUUGAGUUUCUCAUUUUUUGUUUACUUUGUUCACAACUGGUUAGUACUUUAUCCUCACGCAUUUGUACUUCCUUAUGAUUAUGUUUAUGUUAUGUGCACUAGUGUUACUUGGAUUUCCUUGAGUUAAUGUAAUUUCUAUGUUAUGCCGCUGCGUGUACAAGCCUGCUUGUCUUAAUGCCAUCAUGCAGUGUCAAUAAUUUCAACUCUGUUCAAGUCUUGAUUUUUGCAUGGUUAGCUAAGUUGAUUCGUGAUGUUUGUUUGGUUUGUAAUUAAACCUGAUUGAUGUUUGUCGCACCUUGUUUUGAUUUCUAGUACUAAAACUCCCAGGAAACUAUGUCAUUGCUCAGAAUUGCUUUCUUCCUGUUGAAUCCUUUAUGCAUAACCUGGUGUUUUUCUGCGAAUCAUGUGACAACACUGUCUAAAUGCUUAGCCUAAUAUGCUCUCUCUUGACAUUAUUAGCCUUAGUACAUGCCUAUUACAAGUGUCCAACCUGAUUGAUUGCUCACCUCCAUGUUUAAGUAUCACUAGUUACUUAAGGUCUGUUGCUUAUCAUGAAUCCAUGACUUAGAAUCUCCUAGGGAACUAAUGCAUGCCCAGAACUUAUUUGAAUGUGUUUUUGCUAAGUCUUUCAUGUACAACCUGCUACUUCCUUGAAAUCAACUUGUGAUUACAUGAAUUCUAUAUGCCAAUAUUGUUACAAUUCACACUUGUUUCUUUACUUUGAUGUUGUGUGCUCACUGACUGCUUAAGACUCCUAGGGUGAAUCCAAUAUAUGUCUAGCCUAUUCUCCCUAUGUCGACUAGAAUAAGUCCCAGCCCUCUUCAUAUGAUGCCUGUUUGCUUUAUUCAUCUGAAAGUCAGCUUCUUCUCAUUUGCCAUGAAUGCUUAUGGGCUUCCAUGUUAAGACUCCUAUGUCUAAAGUCCUACUGAGAUUAGUUUGGAAUCAUGCCUACUUUGAACUUCUCAUUGAGAACUUGUUUCUAUCUAUGUUGUAUGUGCAUGUAAUGGAUUUUGUGUAAAUUUACUUGUGUGUCUCUGAAAUCCUUGUUCUCUCUUAGCUAUAGUGUUAAGGGAUAAAAUUCUUAAGUCUUAAAGAUUGUUUGGCUUGCUUAGUACCUAGACGAUCACUUGUGUUGUUAUGGCUAUUUGGUAUUCCAUGGGUAAGCAAGGCAGCUGUGUUAUGGUUUGGGCCUAGAUGUUGGGCCAGUUUGGUACUCAAAAUUGAAGCAUAUUAAUAGCCAUCUGGAGUGUAGGCAUGUUCAUCACCUAAGGUUCCAGGCUUAGUUGCAGGCCAAGAAGCAGCCUUGGGUAUCCUGUAUUUGUUGUAUUUGGGCUUGUAGUCGCCUUAUUAAGUCUGUGAUUGUUUCUAUCCUAUAUUGGGCCUGUAAUAAUCUGUAAUAACGAAUGAUGGGGAAAUUAGUGGAAAGGGAGAAUGGCUAUACUCUAUUAUUGCAUAAAAGAGUAGAAGACAUGCCUAUAGGGUCUACGUGCUUUAUUUGCUAUUUUGUUUAGUGUGCUUUAUUUCUGUACACUGAUAGAAAUUAUGCUUGUAGAAAAUCACACAUUUCGCUUAAUUUGUCUAAUACUUGUACAAUGUUCGAUGCAUGUUAGCUUAAGUAAUUGCUACACUUGUUUCCAUAUCUACUACUGAACGAUUUAGACCGUAUGUUUAUAGGAAUCAAACGCCUUGCUUAACUAUUAGACAGCAUGCCUCUAUGAUACAAUAAUGCACGCCUUCGAUAAUACUCAUCUAUAUACCAUGACUAUAGGGUUCUAAUUGUAUUCUUCGCACGAGAAGAAUACAAGAAAGUGAAGCUUCCUAAUGGUUUGGUAGGAAGAUAAGUGCAGACGUCUCCAUACCGAUCCGUAAGUCUCUACUAAACCUACUCAUGGCUCGAGAGACCUAAGUAACCUAGUGCUCUGAUACUAACUUGUAACGACCCAAAAUCCCAAACGGUUGUGAUGGCGCCUAACACACUUGCUAGGCAAGCCGACAAUCACAUAACAGCUAAGCAUUUGGAAUAAAACAAGUUUUAAUAACUCAACAAUGGAAAAUCUCAUAAAUAUCUGAUAAAAACAUCUGAAAUACUACUACAACCACCCUAAAAUUUGGUGUGAAUGAGUACAUGAGCAAAAAUAAGUAUCAACAUAAACCACAACUCUGGUACAACUGUCUGAAUAAUAGAACGGUACGAAAAAAUAUAAGAGGGAAGAGAGUUAAGGUCUGCGAAUGUCAUAGCAGCUACCUUGAAGUCUCCAAGCAAGAAUUGGCAUCGAUCUAGCAAUCACCGCGUCCAGAUGUACUUGGAUCUGCACACGAAGUGUAGAGUGUAGUAUGAGUACAACCGACCCAAUGUACCUAAUAAGUAACAAAACUAACCUUGGACUGAAAGCAGUGAAUCUUUUGAAGAUAUUGUUAACAUGUUUGUGAUACUAUUUUCUUUCGACCAAAUUGCAUUGUUUUUAUUCUUUUCUAAUUAAAAGUUUUCGCACUAUUAAGAGUAUUUUUUACACCUUAUAUGUAACUUUUUUUUUAUCAGCAUUCAAUAUGAAAUUUUGUGCGUUCUUCCAAAAAAUGACUUGGUUGCAGUGCCGGCUCAAUGCACAAGCCAAUAAGGCAAGUGCUUUAAGCCCCCCACAACUUAGAGGCCCAUAUCCUAAUAGUUUGAUUAGCUGUAUAGUUACUUUUAUUAUUAAAAAUUAUUUAAUUAAGAUAAAAAGUACAAAAUUUUGAUCAAAAUAAGGAAAGAAUUUCUGGGUUUAUAACUAAUGUGACUUGACUGAAGAAAAUAGGUAAUAAAAUCAAGGAAAAUAGGUAAUCAAGAUCAUUGCCUUAAGUGUGAAUGUUGUCUUUUCUUUGGGUCAUUUACAUAUAACAUUCAUGGGGUUUAUCUAUCCUAAAUUAUGCUUCCCUUUACUUUUUCGCUCACACAAGAACUAUUCUUUUUCUCUCUUUUUUCCCAUUCUUUUACAAAUCUAUUAUUCUGUAAGAAAUCAAGGAUUGAAAUGCAUUGAAAAAAGUGUAUUGCCUAUCUUCUUCGUUCAAUCUCGGACUUAAGCAAUGCAACAAGAUUUGAAGCAGUGAUUAUCAACAUCUACAAUCAUGUUCUAUUGCUACUUUAUAUUCUCUUUAUAUCUUAAUCUUUUUGACAUUUUACUUGCUAGGUAUAUAUAGCCUUUUUAUUCAUUGUAAUUAAGUAUGUAAACUAGAAAAUGUGAAUUAGAUUACUCAAGACGCCAAAAAAAUUAGAAGAAUUGUGAUCCUUAAUACAAUCUCAAAGAGGAGCUUUAAAUGAAUUUUUAGCAAUGGAUCAAAAAAACUAAGUCAAAAACAGUUGGAAGAAGUUUUUUAGAAUUAAAAUUGAUAAAUUUUUAUUUAAGAUCAACAAUGUCUCAAAAAAGAUCAAACAUAUUGGCUUUAUUAUUAAUUAAAAAGAAUUAUUGAAAAAAAUUGAUUAUAAGAAAAUAAUUAAUGAAUUUGCAUAUAAAAGAGCUAGAAAAAAUAGAUUUCGAAUAAAAUUAUAUAUGAAGAUUUUUUUAAAAAUAAUAUAAGGCCUAUGUUGAAGUUUGGCUUUAGAUCACCAAAUUCGCUCCCGCUUAGUUGGUACUACCAUGCACUCGUGGGAUAAUUCAGCCUAUUUGUUUUUUUUUGUCCUUUCUCGUGAUUGGUUUAUAGACUUCUUAAUGAUCAAAUGUAAAGCCAG